UAGCCAUCUCUGACUUUGACUUUUAUAUCCAAACCUUUCCUCCAUGGACUCUCCGAUGCAAACCCAGCAAAAGAGAGCGAGCCAGUGGGAUUCGCUGACCGACAAAGAAAACACCACCGUCUCCCGUCAUAGUAGUUGUCUCGUCGCAGCUCUCAGCCCCCAUUCCUUCUCCCCACUCCACUCUUCUUUGUCUCUGUAUCUUUUUAACAAAACA
rnacentral:lncRNA from 1 species